GGGCCUUGUACACACCGCCCGUCACACCAUGGGAGUGGGUUGCAAAAGAAGUAGGUAGCUUAACCUUCGGGAGGGCGCUUACCACUUUGUGAUUCAUGACUGGGGUGAAGUCGUAACAAGGUAACCGUAGGGGAACCUGCGGUUGGAUCACCUCCUUACCUGCAAGA
rnacentral:rRNA from 1 species